UGGGGAAUAUUGCGCAAUGGGGGAAACCCUGACGCAGCCACGCCGCGUGGGUGAUGAAGGCCUUCGGGUUGUAAAGCCCUGUCGAGGGGGAAGAAGUAUGACGGUACCCCUCAAGAAAGCGCCGGCUAACCCUGUGCCAGCAGCCGCGGUAAUACAGGGGGCGCGAGCGUUGCUCGGAAUCACUGGGCGUAAAGCGUACGCAGGCGGACCGUUAAGUCGAAUGUGAAAGCCCGGGGCUCAACCUCGGAAGUGCAUUCGAAACUGGCGGUCUUGAAUACGGGAGAGGUGAGUGGAAUUCCUGGUGUAGAGGUGAAAUUCGUAGAUAUCAGGAGGAACACCGGUGGCGAAAGCGGCUCACUGGCCCGAUAUUGACGCUCAUGUACGAAAGCGUGGGGAGCAA
rnacentral:rRNA from 1 species